rnacentral:misc_RNA from 1 species
GGAUGAAGAACGCAGCGAAAUGCGAUAAGUAAUGUGAAUUGCAGAAUUCAGUGAAUCAUCGAAUCUUUGAACGCACAUUGCGCCCGCCAGUAUUCUGGCGAGCAUGCCUGUUCGAGCGUCAUUUCAACCAUCAAGCCCCAGGCUUGUGUUGGAGCCCUGCGGCUGCCGCAGCCUCCCAAAACCAGUGGCGGGCUCGCUAUCACACCGAGUGCAGUAGUUUACUCUUCGCUCAGGGCGUGUGGCGGGUGCUAGCCGUGAAACCCCCAACUUCUCAAGGUUGACCUCGGAUCAGGUAGGAAUACCCGCUGAACUUAAGCAUAUCAAUAAGCGGAGGA